rnacentral:rRNA from 1 species
AGGACGAACGCUGGCGGCGUGCUUAACACAUGCAAGUCGAGCGGUAAGGCCUUUCGGGGUACACGAGCGGCGAACGGGUGAGUAACACGUGGGUGAUCUGCCCUGCACUCUGGGAUAAGCCUGGGAAACUGGGUCUAAUACCGGAUAUGACCUGCUCUCGCAUGGGGGUGGGUGGAAAGAUUUUAUCGGUGCAGGAUGGGCCCGCGGCCUAUCAGCUUGUUGGUGGGGUAAUGGCCUACCAAGGCGACGACGGGUA